rfam:Arabidopsis thaliana chromosome 4, complete sequence.
GUGCCCUUCGAUGAUUAAUAAUAUAUUAAUGGUUAAAAGUAGUCUGAUAUCUUAUUGAUGAAUAUUUCAAAUCCGAGGGCUU